UACGUAGGGUGCAAGCGUUAAUCGGAAUUACUGGGCGUAAAGCGUGCGCAGGCGGUUAUGUAAGACAGUUGUGAAAUCCCCGGGCUCAACCUGGGAACUGCAUCUGUGACUGCAUAGCUAGAGUACGGUAGAGGGGGAUGGAAUUCCGCGCGUAGCAGUGAAAUGCGUAGAUAUGCGGAGGAACACCGAUGGCGAAGGCAAUCCCCUGGACCUGUACUGACGCUCAUGCACGAAAGCGUGGGGAGCAAACAGG
rnacentral:rRNA from 1 species